CUCUAGCUUCGUCACGGAUGGAUUUUCGAUCUCCUGUGUGUUGGUCAGGUCAAGCUACUGCCAGGAUUGCCUUCAAUUCAGAAAACGCGCUUGGGAUGGGUCGUGUCUGGAAGUUGUUCGCGUUCAAAAGGUUCUUCGUUGAUGAUCUCUCGCGCACGGGCCGUAGCUGCUGAGGAUAAUAGUCCAGAGGAUCGG